GAUGAAGAACGCAGCGAAAUGCGAUGAGUAAUGUGAAUUGCAGAAUUCAGUGAAUCAUCGAAUCUUUGAACGCACAUUGCGCCCGCCAGUAUUCUGGCGGGCAUGCCUGUCUGAGCGUCAUUUCAACCCUCAUGCCCCUAGGGCGUGGUGUUGGGGAUCGGCCAAAGCCCGCGAGGGACGGCCGGCCCCUAAAUCUAGUGGCGGACCCGUCGUGGCCUCCUCUGCGAAGUAGUGAUAUUCCGCAUCGGAGAGCGAUGAGCCCCUGCCGUUAAACCCCCAACUUUCCAAGGUUGACCUCAGAUCAGGUAGGAAUACCCGCUGAACUUAAGCAUAUCAAUAAGCGGAGGA
rnacentral:misc_RNA from 1 species